AGACAUCCCAUUAAGAGAUCAACUGAGAUUAUAACUUUCACCAAAACAUGGGACCAACCCCAUAAUAAGAAGAACGAAACCUUACAAAGAGCUAUGAAAAGAAGCCCUUGGCUGUUCUUCAGAGCUCCAGGAUGGCCAUGAAAUCACGCCAAGACAGGUCUGGUGCUCCCUCAAGGAUUGGAGAUUAUCACAGAAGAGGCCAGCCUUGGACCCAGCUCAGCCAGAAGCUUCCAUAUGAAAAGAGAUGGAAACUGUACCUGUGCCCAAGACAAAAAUCUCCCAUGAAAUUUAAGAGAAUAAGAAGCCUAUCACUAGUCCCCAGACAAGGUAAGUCGCUCACAAGAAACAAAGGGGAGAAAAGAAUGACAGCUUUAACGUGGGACAAAAAUAAAACGCAGAUUAAGUCAAAGUUUAAUUCACAUAAAGUUUAAUCAGUCAAGUUAAUGAAAAUAUCAAAAUUUUUGAGUUAGUGUAUGGCAGCAGAAAUUUAAUUUUUGUUGCAAAUAAUACAGUAUUUGGUGUUUCCGUCACUGACAAGCUAUGCUGCAGAUAGAGCAAUUGCAUUGAAUCUCAGUUCAUCAGGGUCACGUUCCAUAAACUUCUUGCAAACUUCUAUGGCAUCCUA